CUUGCAUGGUAGUUGGUCACAAACCAUUACAGUAUUACAUAUAUAUAAAAUAUUGUUAAGGCCCUUCAUGGAUGUUUGCAUGCAUAGGAGGAGGUGGUGGCGGUGGAGGAGGACCUCCGCGCAUAGGAGGUAGUGGACCUCCAUGCAUAGGAGAAGGAGGUGGAGGUGGUGGUGGUGGAGGACCUCCACGCAUAGGAGGAGG
rnacentral:lncRNA from 1 species